AGGACGCUGAAAGAUGCGUAGCUACCCUCCUGGUGCACUUCCUGGUGCAAAGCAGAACCAAAGGGUACGGUGGUACGGCGGACAGUAGUCCU
rfam:Satellite tobacco necrosis virus coat protein gene, complete cds.